rnacentral:piRNA from 1 species
UGGGAUGUGAUUAAACCUUUUUGUAGAACUC